rnacentral:rRNA from 1 species
GACGAACGCUGGCGGCGUGCUUAACACAUGCAAGUCGAACGGAAAGGCCCUGCUUUUGUGGGGUGCUCGAGUGGCGAACGGGUGAGUAACACGUGAGUAACCUGCCCUUGACUUUGGGAUAACUUCAGGAAACUGGGGCUAAUACCGGAUAGGAGCUCCUGCUGCAUGGUGGGGGUUGGAAAGUUUCGGCGGUUGGGGAUGGACUCGCGGCUUAUCAGCUUGUUGGUGGGGUAGUGGCUUACCAAGGCUUUGACGGGUAGCCGGCCUGAGAGGGUGACCGGCCACAUUGGGACUGAGAUACGGCCCAGACUCGUACGGGAGGCAGAAGUGGGGAAUAUUGCACAAUGGGCGGAAGCCUGAUGCAGCAACGCCGCGUGCGGGAUGACGGCCUUCGGGGUGUAAACCGCUUUCGCCUGUGACGAAGCGUGAGUGACGGUAAUGGGUAAAGAAGCACCGGCUAACUACGUG